rnacentral:rRNA from 1 species
UACGAAGGGGGCUAGCGUUGCUCGGAAUCACUGGGCGUAAAGGGCGCGUAGGCGGACUCUUAAGUCGGGGGUGAAAGCCCAGGGCUCAACCCUGGAAUUGCCUUCGAUACUGAGAGUCUUGAGUUCGGAAGAGGUUGGUGGAACUGCGAGUGUAGAGGUGAAAUUCGUAGAUAUUCGCAAGAACACCAGUGGCGAAGGCGGCCACAUGUGCCCGAUACUGACGCUGAGGCGCGAAAGCGUGGGGAGCAAACAGG